rnacentral:rRNA from 1 species
UUGCCUACGGGAGGCAGCAGUGGGGAAUAUUGCACAAUGGGGGGAACCCUGAUGCAGCGACGCCGCGUGGGUGAGGAAGUACUUCGGUAUGUAAAGCCCUAUCAGCAGGGAAGAAAAUGACGGUACCUGACUAAGAAGCCCCGGCUAACUACGUGCCAGCAGCCGCGGUAAUACGUAGGGGGCAAGCGUUAUCCGGAUUUACUGGGUGUAAAGGGAGCGCAGGCGGUCUGGCAAGUCUGAUGUGAAAUACCGGGGCUCAACUCCGGGACUGCAUUGGAAACUGUCAGACUGGAGUGUCGGAGAGG